rfam:TPA: Bos taurus chromosome 29, whole genome shotgun sequence.
UCCCUGGUGGCUCAGAGGUUAAAAUGUCUGCCUGCAAUGCAGGAGACCCGGGUUCAAUCCCUGGGUUGGGAA